rnacentral:rRNA from 1 species
AUACGGAGGGUGCAAGCGUUAUUCGGAAUCAUUGGGUUUAAAGGGUCCGUAGGCGGACUAUUAAGUCAGAGGUGAAAUCCCACAGCUCAACUGUGGAACUGCCUUUGAUACUGGUAGUCUUGAGUUAUAUGGAAGUAGAUAGAAUGUGUAGUGUAGCGGUGAAAUGCAUAGAUAUUACACAGAAUACCGAUUGCGAAGGCAGUCUACUACGUAUAUACUGACGCUAAGGGACGAAAGCGUGGGGAGCGAACAUGAUUAGAUACCCUAGUAGUCC